rnacentral:rRNA from 1 species
CCCUUAGAUGUUCUGGGCCGCACGCGCGCUACACUGAUGCAUUCAACGAGUCUAAAACCUGGUCUGAUAGGGCUGGGUAAUCUUUUGAAAGUGCAUCGUGAUUGGGAUAGAUGAUUGCAAUUCUUCAUCUUCAACGAGGAAUGCCUAGUAAACGCAAGUCAUCAGCUUGCAUUGAUUACGUCCCUGCCCUUUGUACACACCGCCCGUCGCUACUACCGAUUGAAUGGCUUAGUGAGGCCUCAGGAUCCGCGCUUAAUGUGUGGAGAAUUUGGACAAACUACGUCAUUUAGAGGAAGUAAAAGUCGUAACA